rnacentral:lncRNA from 1 species
AUGAUUUUCUUUAUAUCAACUCCUGCCUUGUGUCAUCCUGGGUAUCUGCAUUUUGGGUCCAAACAGCCCUCUCAACGUGACAGAAUGAACCGACCACACAGGACCCAGCGGAUAACCAGGAUGUACAAUUUUGAUGGUGACCCGGACUCCUAUCUGACUUUUAUCUUGGACGUGACGAGAUUUUAUGGCUCGGACAUUUCGGGCUCUGAUUUGAUCAUUAAUACUGUGCUCCUCCUACGGGGAAGAGCCCUGCAGUGGGCCAGCCGUUACCAAAAUCCCUUAGAGGAGUUGGAGUUUUGGGAUUUCGCAGAGGAUCUGCAGGACGCUUGCAGCAGCCCACAAGCUCCCUCCUGUUCGAUGGAUCACAAUCUGCCAGCAAACACUGUUGUAAGAGCUGCCUUCUCAGCAUCUUCAAAGCGCCCCAGCUCCACACUCUCACCUGGUCCGGUCAGCGCCACCUUUCCAUCUCCGGGGGGCUGUCACACUUCAUCACCCUCUGUUCCGAGACUUCAGUCCUUUCCUGCCCCGGUCCAGACUAUCAGAACCAGCUUCGUCUCCUUCUUCCCUGAACCAGUUGGCGCUGUCUCAGCACCUCUGAUGGGCCAAAUCACCACACCCUCACCUGAUCCCGACAACGCUGCCUCUUCAUCCCUGGUGGGUUUUUAUUCCUCCUCAUCUUCAGUUUCUGCCAUCUCCACACCUCUGUUGACCCAAGAUCCCCCAGGUCGACGACGACGCAACCGCCGUCAGGUCUUCUGUGGUCAGAGCAUCACCAGCAGUUCAGGUGUCACCUGCACUUACACCUCAGCCCAAGCUCCACUCGCCACCAUCUCCAGCUCAGCCCGAUCUCCUCAUCCCAGAGACCUGUUCAGCCUGUCCAAGAGGUCCUUGUUCUGCAGUCCAAGUCUGAGCUCCACCUGCCGUCACCUUAUCCAGUUCCAGCAGUGGUCCCAGAAGUCGCACCAUGUCCCGUUCCAGCGGUGGUCCCGGAGAACGAAUCACAUCCUGUCUCGGCGGUGGUCCCAGAGGACGCAUCGCUUCUCCUCCAGUUUCACUGGCUGCCAGUCAACUUCAGGGUUCAUUUCUAGAUCCUGGUUCUGGUCUAUAGGGCCUUACAUGGACAAGCACCAUCUUACAUUGGUGAUCUUCUAA